GAUGAACGCUGGCGGCGUGCCUAACACAUGCAAGUCGAGCGAUCCCUUCGGGGAAAGCGGCGGACGGGUGAGUAACGCGUGGGUAACCUGCCCUAUACACAUGGAUAACAUAUCGAAAGAUUUAUUAAUACAUGAUGAUAUAUUAAGAAGGCAUCUUCUAAAUAUCAAAGCUUUUGCGGUAUAGGAUGGACCCGCGUCUGAUUAGCUAGUUGGUAAGGUAAUGGCUUACCAAGGCGACGAUCAGUAGCCGACCUGAGAGGGUGAUCGGCCACAUUGGAACUGAGACACGGUCCAA
rnacentral:rRNA from 1 species